UCUAGACCCAACUAGGAAUUUAUUUAAUCUGGCCCAAAGUAUUUAUUUCUUAAGCAAUUAGCCCAGUUUUAAUUAGUUGGCCCAUUUCCCUUCUCUUUCUAUCAUUUUCCUAACUCUGAGGCCCAAAUACUACUCUUUAUUAAUUAAUUCAGGCCCAAAGUAAAUAAAUUUGGCAUGGCCAAAUUACCCCCUUCUGCAUCGCCCGAUCUCUCUCUCCCCCAAUCUCUAAAUUUUAAACCAACUCAAAACCCUAAUCUCCCCCACUCGGAGUCAGCGGUGCCUCCUCCUCUUCACGCCGAUCUGCCUCUGUCGCGGGGUCAACCACCGGCGUUCAGUCGUCACCGUCGCCCUCCCCUCCGUCAAUGCCUCCUCUCGGCUGGAGCUCCGUCAUCGAGCUGGAACUCGGCCGUUAUUAGGCGUGCUUAUAGGUGAGGCUCCGGUAGCAGCGGUGCCUCGCGAGGCUUCCGCCGUCGCCGCUGAGUCGCUGCUGGUUCGAAAAGCACGGCGUCACCGCAGGACUCCCCCAGCCGAGCCGUCGCACGCUCAGCUUGCCUUACGGCAGCCUCCGGACUCCGUCGUCCUUCCAUCCCGCUCAAGCUAAGUUUACUAAUUGUAUUUGGUGCAGUAUUUCGUAUUUUGAAGUUAAGCUAUUCAUAGAGAUUUUAGGGUUUUCGAUUCGUUAGGACGGAUCGACUAGUUGGGUUCGAUUGGAGUGAUCCCUUUUAUACUCCGACAUCCCAGUCAUGAUUUAACAUGCUAUCUAUAAGCCUUGGGCAGUGGCUUACGAGGAUGAUAUUAUGUGGUGUUGCCACUGUUUUUUUUUUCUCGUUGAUGCUUGCUUCAACUAUCUGCUACUGUCAUGGGGCUAUUACUACUGUGCUUGAAAGUUCUUGAGCUUUUGUGUCCCUAAGUUCUCGUGUUGAAUACUACAUGAUGAGUUGAUGAAAAACAUUGUUUGAGUUUGAGGGAGAACGACCUUACCUCUCUCACUCGGCUCAAACUUCAGUUAUCUCGUUGCCUCGGUCCCUCUCCCUGCCUUGGUUCCUCUCACUGUGUUGCGAUUGUUGCGAUAAUGAGGGAGGCAGAGGCUGAGGCCUAUUUAUACUAGUGGCCUAACUAAAAGCCGGAAAAAAGGCUGACAUUUCUGGCUGGAGGGUAGUCCUUGAUAGACUGAUUUGGUUGUUACCUCUACAGCAAUUUCGCAGGGUGUACUCGUGAGCUGGACGAGCUUAAGGCUCCUGGCUAUGCUCUGAUUAUUAUAACUGAUUUUGGUGUUUUGUGAUGCAUUGUACCCUGCCUCAGUCAUGAGUUUUGUCCCCUUUUGGCAGGCAUUCAGAGAGAUGGCAGGGUAUGUGGGCGAUCUUCCCAGCCAUAGCAGAUUUGAGGGAGAUACCACUGCCGGUUGCAGCCUUGCAGGGAUCCUGCAGCCACUGGUUGGGAGCUGAGGCUGUUACUGAUGCUGCCAUUCCUGGUGGUCUCGCCCUUUCGGCUCUCUAUGGUUCUGGCCGAUACGGCUUGCGGAAGAGGCCAAUGAAGUCCUCUAAGAUGUCUUGUGUGAAAUGGCAUAGAUCACUUUGUAAUUUCCUUUUUUUUUGCUAUGUAAUAGUUGGGUGUAUUUCAUUUUAGCACUUUUGUAACUCAAAAGCUUAUAGUUCUUAUAUAGCAUUUAUAUUUCCUUCAGGAAAUAAAAUACUCUUUCAUAAAAA